rnacentral:tRNA from 1 species
CGGUCCACUACCUGAAACUUGCAGAAUUCCUAUUCAAACUUUAAAUAUAGCUAGUGUUAA